UUCAGUAACCAACGGAAUCAAAACAGACGAGAGAACGAAACAGGUCCCAGGCAUCCUGCUUUAUGCUGAAGUCCAGCACCCACUGGUGGCUCGAGCCCCAGCCCCUCCCCCCACACGGCACCACGGUCUAUGCCACUAUUGUCUGAUGCCCCAGUUCCGCUUCCCCCUCCUGUCCACCCCCUUCAUGAGUUGCAUUAACACCCUGGCUCCCAUCCCAGGUGAUGGGAAAUUCAGCUGGAAGAUGCAAGAAAUCUGUUAGAAUCUUGUGGUGGGGAGUUCCACAGGUUAACGGAUUGUGGCAUUAAAAUCUGCCCUUGAAACCCU